rnacentral:rRNA from 1 species
GAUGAACGCUGGCGGCGUGCCUAAUACAUGCAAGUCGAGCGAACGGACGAGAAGCUUGCUUCUCUGAUGUUAGCGGCGGACGGGUGAGUAACACGUGGAUAACCUACCUAUAAGACUGGGAUAACUUCGGGAAACCGGAGCUAAUACCGGAUAAUAUUUUGAACCGCAUGGUUCAAAAGUAAAAGACGGUCUUGCUGUCACUUAUAGAUGGAUCCGCGCUGCAUUAGCUAGUUGGUAAGGUAACGGCUUACCAAGGCAACGAUGCAUAGCCGACCUGAGAGGGUGAUCGGCCACACUGGAACUGAGACGCGGUCCAGACUCCUACGGGAGGCAGCAGUAGGGAAUCUUCCGCAAUGGGCGAAAGCCUGACGGAGCAACGCCGCGUGAGUGAUGAAGGUCUUCGGAUCGUAAAACUCUGUUAUUAGGGAAGAACAUAUGUGUAAGUAACUGUGCACAUCUUGACGGUACCUAAUCAGAAAGCCACGGCUAACUACGUG